CGGAAUUGUAGCAUGAAUUAUACAUUAUAGGUUUUUUCUCACAUUAUUAUUUGAUAAAUUUACAACAAAUAAUAAAGAUAUAAUAAAAUAAUUUAAUAAUAAAUCCAAAGAUAAUUAUAUGUUUCUGAUUUUUGAUUGAAAAAUUAAAUCUUAAUUUUCUGAAAUCGUACCAUGAAAAAAAAAUUAAAUAUUAAUUUAAACAAAUAACAAAAAUUUCAGAAGAAAACAAUAUAUAUAUAUUUUUUAUUUAUAAUAAUAAAUUAUUCUUAAUAAUCUAUGUAAAUAUUAUUAAUAAAUUAAUAUUAUGAGACAUUAUUUUUUUAAUAAUCUAAUUUUUAUUACUUAUUAAUUACCUUAUAUUCAAUUACAUAUAUGUAUAUACUAUAUAUUAUAUUAAAUUCUAAAUACAUCUACUGCAUAUAUAUUAUCUUGCAUAUUAGAAAAUUGGAAGUCCAAGAUCUAUAACUUCGUUUCCGAAAUGUAUAAAUGAAUGAGUAUAAAUAUUAAACUUUGUACCACCAAAAGAAACUGGACAAAGAUUAUUUGAUCUUGCAUAAAAGCAUAUCGUGUACAAAGCCAUUUCCAACUCAGGUAAAGUACCCACAAAUAUUGUUACAUUUGAUCUAACAAUCCCAUCUAUUUGAAAAUUUAAUUUUAGUAAUGAAGCACUCUGAAAAAAUAAAUAUAUUAGAUGAUUAAAAUAAUAUUAUUAUAAUGAGUAUAAUUCUUUAAUAUUUUUUAAAUAACUAAUAUAUUUUAAAUAACUUACAUUUCCAAAAUCUAAUUUAUCUACGUAACCCAUAUAAUCUAUACGUUUCAAAGAUUCUAGAUAUUCGAAAUAAAUCCAAUCUUGUACACCAAUAAUAGCUGUACCAUAAUUUUCAGAUGCAAAUACACGUUCAAAUCCGCAUGUACUUCCGCUGAAUAUAGUAAACCAAAUUCGACGAAGUACAUCUUUUCUUUCAAAAUCAUCUGGAUCAAUGAAUCCAUGAUCAGCUAACCAUUGCAUAGCUAUUGUCAUCUCAUUUGUAUUUAAAAAUGCAUCAAUCAAAAGAUUUUCUUGUUUUCUUGUUUCCAAAGUACGAUUCAAUUUCUUACGAAAAUCAUAUUCAUAACUAUUAUAUAGAGAUCGUGUUACAUAAAUUGAUGGAUAAUCUAACAAUUUUGAUUCUAUUUUAAAUAAUCUAGAAAAAAAAAAUUAAUAAAAAUUAAAAAUUAUUGAAAUCAGUUAAAAGUUAAAAAAAGUAAAUAAUUACAACAUACGAUUCUUUAGCUUCAUCUGUUACAUUAAGAGAUGUAACUUUAGUUUGUAAAUUCAAUUUUAUAAAUUUAUAUAUAUUGCGCGAACUUUUUGCAAAUAAUUCUUCUGAUAUUUUAAAAAGUUCAUCAUCCGAAAUUUUAUAAAAAAAUGUGUUAUUUAUGCUUAUAGAUUCAUUGUUAGAUAGAUUUUUUUGAUCACUUGACACAAUUGUAGAAGUAUUUAUAUUCUCAUUUAUAUGAGAUUCAAUAAUGGGUAUUCCGUUUCUAUGAACUAAAUGUGAACAAGAUAUAUUAAUAAGAAUAUUUAAUACAUAUGAAAUAUGAUUUUCUGAUAAAGAAACUUACCAUUGUCUAUAUUAGAAGUAAAUAUUCCAGUUGAAUUAUUAGGAAAUCCAGUUACUUGUAAUACAUUUGUGGAAUUCAUUUUCUCAUCAUUAACUCCAAGUGGAGUAUUAAAAUAUUGAUUGUUAUAAGUAAUAUGAGUUGUAGUUGUUGAAGUAGAAUCAGGUCUAUUUUCUACAUAAUCAUGAGUAGUAUGAGGAUUUAAUAUUCUAUUAACACCUGCAUUAAUAGUUGAAAAUACAAGAGCUUCCUUGAUCAUUUGACCAAAACCUCGACCAGAAUCUUGUUGCCCUGGUACCAUUAGAAUAGUUUGACCAGGUACAAAUGGUUGUACUGCAGGUUGUGCUAAUAUAUGUGUUGUUGGAUAAUGUGUUGAAUAAGAAGGUUGUCCAUGUGUAUUAUAAAUACCUUCAGAAGAAUGUACAGAAUAAGGAUUUCUUAAUGGCAUUGAAUUCGUUUGAUAAGGUAGAGAAGAAACUGAAUUUGGCCAUGUGUUACUUAAAGGCAUAUGAUGUGUAGGAUAAGGAGGAUAUUCUCUAUGUAUAGAUUGAGUAUUAGCCGAAGUUAUAUGACUCUGUGGAUAAACAUAAUCUUUGAAUCCAAUUGGAGGAGGUUGAGAAUUUGGUACAAUUCCUGGUUGAUUCGAUAUUGGUGGCUUAUUAAUUAUAUGUGUUUGAAUUGUACUUUGUCUAUUAUUUCCUAAAUAGGGAUUGCUCCAGGGAAAAUUUGUUUGAUGUGAUGUUAUCUGAUCUACAAUAUACAUAUUUUUAAUACAUAAUAAUACAAUAAUAACAAUAAUAUUAAAUAUAAUAUAUGUUUAUAUUAUUUAUACCAUAAUUUUGUGCUGUAGCAGAUUUCAUAAUAUGAUCUUGUUGUGGUGCAGAUGGAUAAAAAGAUGAGGUUUGUUUGUUUUCAUUUUUUUGUUUUUCUCCAUUUUGUAAAACUGAAAUAGGCUUUGUAGGAUAUAAUGGUUGAAAAGGCUUUGUUUGAACUAAUUAAAAAAAUUUCAUAUAAUUUACAUUUUAUAUUUAAUAUCAUAAAAAAAACAAACUAGUUAAAAAUACUUACUUAAUCGUGUUGCUCCUCCACUCUCAGCAUUUAAAAAUUGUGUAUUAAUAUUUUUAUUUGCUUGAGCUAUAAAUAGUUUUAAAAUUAACAAUAAAUAAACAAUAUUCAUAUUCAUAUAAUGUGUAUGUGAAUAAAUAUUUAAUAACAUAUUUAAAAUUAGCUAAAAAUAAUAGAUAUAUAGAUAAUAGAUAGUUUAUUAAAACAGGGAAGUUUUCUAUGAGAUGUAGAUAUAGAAAAUCUUUUUAAAAAUGAUUGAUACUUGCCAUAAUUAGGAUUUGCUCUAUUUGAUGUAUGAUAUAAAGAUCCAUAUGAUUUUCUAUUUCCAGAUUUUCCAUUUGAUUUUCUGUUUUUAACAAAACCUUUCCCAAUAUUAAAUUUUGUACUAAUAUUAUCUAAGAAAAGUAAAUAACAAAAUCAAUAAAAAUAUUAUAUAAUAAAAUAAUUUAGUACUUACUAAUUAAAAUAACACAAAUGAAUAUAAAGAAAAGUGUUUUUAUAAACUUCAUUAUUACUAUAAACACUGCAUAUAAUAUUAUAAUAAAUUGGUGUUUUCAAAGUAUUUUAGAAAUAAACGCAUAUAUUUCAUACAUCAAACUUUUUUUCAUACUAAAUGCAUUAUAUUUUGCAAUAUAUUUGAAUCAUAUUGUAAAGGGUCAUUGCCAAUGACCUGUAGGAUAGAUAUGGAUAUCUUUAGUAAUAAAGACAUUUUUUUAAUAAAU